rnacentral:rRNA from 1 species
CUUGCUCUCGGGUGACGAGCGGCGGACGGGUGAGUAAUGUCUGGGAAACUGCCUGAUGGAGGGGGAUAACUACUGGAAACGGUAGCUAAUACCGCAUAAUGUCGCAAGACCAAAGUGGGGGACCUUCGGGCCUCAUGCCAUCAGAUGUGCCCAGAUGGGAUUAGCUAGUAGGUGGGGUAACGGCUCACCUAGGCGACGAUCCCUAGCUGGUCUGAGAGGAUGACCAGCCACACUGGAACUGAGACACGGUCCAGACUCCUACGGGAGGCAGCAGUGGGGAAUAUUGCACAAUGGGCGCAAGCCUGAUGCAGCCAUGCCGCGUGUGUGAAGAAGGCCUUCGGGUUGUAAAGCACUUUCAGCGGGGAGGAAGGCGAUAAGGUUAAUAACCUUGUCGAUUGACGUUACCCGCAGAAGAAGCACCGGCUAACUCCGUGCCAGCAGCCGCGGUAAUACGGAGGGUGCAAGCGUUAAUCGGAAUUACUGGGCGUAAAGCGCACGCAGGCGGUCUGUCAAGUCGGAUGUGAAAUCCCCGGGCUCAACCUGGGAACUGCAUUCGAAACUGGCAGGCUAGAGUCUUGUAGAGGGGGGUAGAAUUCCAGGUGUAGCGGUGAAAUGCGUAGAGAUCUGGAGGAAUACCGGUGGCGAAGGCGGCCCCCUGGACAAAGACUGACGCUCAGGUGCGAAAGCGUGGGGAGCAAACAGGAUUAGAUACCCUGGUAGUCCACGCCGUAAACGAUGUCGAUUUGGAGGUUGUGCCCUUGAGGCGUGGCUUCCGGAGCUAACGCGUUAAAUCGACCGCCUGGGGAGUACGGCCGCAAGGUUAAAACUCAAAUGAAUUGACGGGGGCCCGCACAAGCGGUGGAGCAUGUGGUUUAAUUCGAUGCAACGCGAAGAACCUUACCUGGUCUUGACAUCCACAGAACUUACCAGAGAUGGUUUGGUGCCUUCGGGAACUGUGAGACAGGUGCUGCAUGGCUGUCGUCAGCUCGUGUUGUGAAAUGUUGGGUUAAGUCCCGCAACGAGCGCAACCCUUAUCCUUUGUUGCCAGCGGUUAGGCCGGGAACUCAAAGGAGACUGCCAGUGAUAAACUGGAGGAAGGUGGGGAUGACGUCAAGUCAUCAUGGCCCUUACGACCAGGGCUACACACGUGCUACAAUGGCAUAUACAAAGAGAAGCGACCUCGCGAGAGCAAGCGGACCUCAUAAAGUAUGUCGUAGUCCGGAUUGGAGUCUGCAACUCGACUCCAUGAAGUCGGAAUCGCUAGUAAUCGUAGAUCAGAAUGCUACGGUGAAUACGUUCCCGGGCCUUGUACACACCGCCCGUCACACCAUGGGAGUGGGUUGCAA